GUUGGUCUGGAGUGUGUCCUAUAAGUCUCUGAGUUGAGGUUUCAGCUCCCCCACAAUAUAUUCUCUAGCAAGAAUCCCUCUAUUGGUCCAGUGUAAUAUCUGCUUAGAUUUCAAGAUUAUUGUGAUGUGUGGUUAAAAAGUAACACUGUAAGGUCAGUUGGGGUGAGCGCUUGGGGUUCUUACUCCUAUGGGUUAGGAAACAUUAGCCAACUUGAACACUAGGCCUUCAACGCAAAAUGAUUAAAUGUACCAUUCAAGAAAAAGAGGACUUUAUUUCUCAUACGUACUUAAAUAUACAAUAUUCUUAUUGAACAGGCGAUAACUGGCUAACAUAUACAUUGUAUAUCCAUAAGUAACAGCAGCAUUGAGGAGCAAGAUGGGAGAGUGUAAAGAUAUAAAAACAAGAA